AAGUCGGUUGUGAAAGCCUUCCGCUCAACGAAAGAACGGCAUCCGAUACUGCAUGGCUUGAGUGUGGGAGGGGAGAGUGGAACUUCUGGUGGAGCGGUGAAAUGCGUAGAUAUCAGAAGGAACACCGGCGGCGAAGGCGACUCUCUGGUCCAUAACUGACGCUGAGUGUGCGAAAGCUAGGGGAGCAAACGGGAUUAGAUACCCCGGUAGUCCUAGCCGUAAACGAU
rnacentral:rRNA from 1 species